UACGUAGGGUGCGAGCGUUGUCCGGAAUUAUUGGGCGUAAAGAGCUCGUAGGCGGCCUGUCGCGUCUGCUGUGAAAACCCGAGGCUCAACCUCGGGCCUGCAGUGGGUACGGGCAGACUAGAGUGCGGUAGGGGAGAAUGGAAUUCCUGGUGUAGCGGUGGAAUGCGCAGAUAUCAGGAGGAACACCGAUGGCGAAGGCAGUUCUCUGGGCCGUAACUGACGCUGAGGAGCGAAAGCGUGGGGAGCGAACAGG
rnacentral:rRNA from 1 species